UUUUUUGUUCUUGUUGUUUUGAGACAGGGUCUCACUAUGUAGUUCAGGCUAGCUGUGUACUCACUAUGUAGCCCAAGCUAGCCUUGAACUCAUGGCAAUUCUCCUGCCUCAGCCUC
rnacentral:miRNA from 1 species